rnacentral:rRNA from 1 species
UACGUAGGGGGCGAGCGUUGUCCGAAGUUACUGGGCGUAAAGCGCGCGUAGGCGGCUUGGUAAGUCUGGGGUGAAAGGUUCAACGCUUAACGUGAACAGUGCCUUGGAAACUAUCAAGCUUGAGUGUGGCAGAGGAUAGUGGAAUUCCUGGUGUAGCGGUGAAAUGCGUAGAUAUCAGGAGGAACACCCAUGGCGAAGGCAGCUAUCUGGGCUAACACUGACGCUGAGGUGCGAAAGCGUGGGGAGCAAACAGG